GACGAACGCUGGCGGCGUGCUUAACACAUGCAAGUCGAACGGAAAGGCCCUGCUUUUGUGGGGUGCUCGAGUGGCGAACGGGUGAGUAACACGUGAGUAACCUGCCCUUUACUUUGGGAUAACUUCAGGAAACUGGGGCUAAUACCGGAUAGGAGCUCCUGCUGCAUGGUGGGGGUUGGAAAGUUUCGGCGGUUGGGGAUGGACUCGCGGCUUAUCAGCUUGUUGGUGGGGUAGUGGCUUACCAAGGCUUUGACGGGUAGCCGGCCUGAGAGGGUGACCGGCCACAUUGGGACUGAGAUACGGCCCAGACUCCUACGGGAGGCAGCAGUGGGGAAUAUUGCACAAUGGGCGGAAGCCUGAUGCAGCAACGCCGCGUGCGGGAUGACGGCCUUCGGGUUGUAAACCGCUUUAGCCUGUGACGAAGCGUGAGUGACGGUAAUGGGUAAAGAAGCACCGGCUAACUACGUG
rnacentral:rRNA from 1 species